rnacentral:rRNA from 1 species
UACGGAGGGAGCUAGCGUUGUUCGGAAUUACUGGGCGUAAAGCGCACGUAGGCGGCUUUGUAAGUUAGAGGUGAAAGCCCGGAGCUCAACUCCGGAACUGCCUUUAAGACUGCAUCGCUUGAAUCCAGGAGAGGUGAGUGGAAUUCCGAGUGUAGAGGUGAAAUUCGUAGAUAUUCGCAAGAACACCAGUGGCGAAGGCGGCUCACUGGCCCGGUACUGACGCUGAGGUGCGAAAGCGUGGGGAGCAAACGGG